rnacentral:rRNA from 1 species
CCUACGGGAGGCAGCAGUGAGGAAUAGUGGUCAAUGGACGGAAGUCUGAACCAGCCAUGCCGCGUGCAGGAUGACGGCUCUAUGAGUUGUAAACUGCGUGUGUACGAGAAUAAUAGAUCUUACGUGUAGGGAUUUGAAUGUAGCGUACGAAUAAGGAUCGGCUAACACCGUGCCAGCAGCCGCGGUAAUACUGAGGAUUCGAGCGUUAUCCGGAUUUAUUGGGUUUAAAGGGUGCGUAGGCUGUUGGAUAAGUUAGAGGUCAAAUGUCUGGGCUUAACCCCGUGCCUGCCUCUGUAACUUUUCGACUAGAGCGCGGAUGCAGCAGGCGGAAUGAGUAGUGUAGCUGUGAUCUGCUUAGCUAUUACUCAGCACACCGAUUGCGCAGGCCGCUUGCUAAUCCGCAUCUGACGCUGAUGCACGAAAGCGUGGGUAGCGAACAGGAUUAGAUACCCUUGUAGUC